CUACGAAAGGUGCAAGCGUCGUUCGGAUUUACUGGGCGUAAAGAGAGUGUAGGUGGUUUAUUAAGUCGGAUGUGAAAUCCCGGGGCUCAACCUCGGAACUGCAUUCGAUACUGAUAGGCUAGAGUUUGGGAGGGGUAAGCGGAAUUCCGUGCGUAGCAGUGAAAUGCGUAGAUAUACGGAGGAACACCUGAGGCGAAGGCGGCUUACUGGACCAAUACUGACACUGAGACUCGAAAGCGUGGGUAGCAAACAGGAUUAGAAACCCUAGUAGUCC
rnacentral:rRNA from 1 species